AUGGAGAAAGUCAAAGAACCCAAAGCAAAUUGGGACAGUGCUGCUCAUACAAUUUUUAUGAAUGCAUGCGUAGAGGAGGUUCGAGCAAAUAACCGCAACGGUGGUUAUUUGUCGGAUAUAGGACAAGCUAAUUUGCAUAAAAAGUUCAAUGUACUCUCUGGAAGAAACUAUUCGACCCAGCAAAUCAAAAAUAGGUGGGGUGUAUGUAGAAGCAAGUACAACACAAGGAAGACAUUGAUCCAGCAAGCAUCUGGCUAUGGAAGAGAUGAGCAUACACACACUAUUGCAUCUACAAAUGAGUGGUGGGCAUUGGAGAUAAAGGCACAUCCAGAAGCUGCCAAGUUUCGCUAUGCUCCACUUGAAGGAAAUAUGACCUAG
rnacentral:rRNA from 1 species